UACGUAGGGAGCAAGCGUUGUCCGGAAUUAUUGGGCGUAAAGAGCUCGUAGGCGGUUUGUCGCGUCUGCUGUGAAAGCUUGGGGCUUAACUCUGGGUUUGCAGUGGGUACGGGCAGGCUUGAGUGCGGUAGGGGAGAUUGGAAUUCCUGGUGUAGCGGUGGAAUGCGCAGAUAUUAGGAAGAACACCGAUGGCGAAGGCAGGUCUCUGGGCCGUUACUGACGCUGAGGAGCGAAAGCGUGGGGAGCGAACAGG
rnacentral:rRNA from 1 species